CAUCGGUCCCCCCGCGACGAUAAACCGUGAACCCGGUCAGGCCUGGAAGGGAGCAGCCGUAGCGGUGGACUUGGGCGCCGGGGUGUGGCUGGUGCGG
rnacentral:SRP_RNA from 1 species